UACGUAGGGGGCAAGCGUUAUCCGGAUUUACUGGGUGUAAAGGGAGCGUAGACGGGCAAGCAAGUCUGAUGUGAAAUCCCACGGCUCAACCGUGGAACUGCAUUGGAAACUGUUAGUCUUGAGUACCGGAGGGGUGAGCGGAAUUCCUGGUGUAGCGGUGAAAUGCGCAGAUAUCAGGAAGAACACCGGCGGCGAAGGCGGCUCACUGGACGGUAACUGACGUUGAGGCUCGAAAGCGUGGGGAG
rnacentral:rRNA from 1 species